UACGAAGGGGGCUAGCGUUGUUCGGCAUUACUGGGCGUAAAGCGCGCGCAGGCGGUCUUCCAAGUCAGUGGUGAAAGCCCGGAGCUCAACUCCGGAACUGCCAUUGAAACUGUGAGACUUGAGUAUGAGAGAGGUGAGUGGAACUCCCAGUGUAGAGGUGAAAGUCGUAGAUAGUGGGAAGAACACCGGUGGCGAAGGCGGCUCACGGGCUCAUUACUGACGCUCAGGCGCGACAGCGUGGGGAUCAAACAGG
rnacentral:rRNA from 1 species